CUGGACGCUGUUUACAACCCUCAGCUUCGGUUACACAGAGCAGAUGUGCAGCAGCUGCUGGUAAAAGCAGAGGUUCCCCCUGAGCAGCAGGAGUGUAGCUCCAGUGUGGACCAGGAGGAGCCAGAGCCCCCCCCACACAUUAAAGAGGAACAGGAGAAACUGUGUAGCCGUCAGGAGGGAGAGGCUGAUAUCACCAAGUUCCCAUUCACUCCUGUCCCUGUGAAGAGGGAAGAUGAUGAAGAGAAAGAUGUUCAUCGGCAGUC